GUGAGCCGAAAAACCUCCAUCAUUUCCUUUGUUCUUUGCACCCUGACUUUUCUCCAUGAUUCUCUUAGACUCCACGAAGAAGCCCUGUAAUGAGAACAAAUUGAUCCAUCUCUCCUGUGACUAUCUUUCCCUGCAAAGAAUCCCUCUGCUCACACGGAGCCCUUUCCAAUAAUCCAAGGUAAUAGUCCAC
rnacentral:lncRNA from 14 species